CAAUAAUUGAAAACUAUUGUCAUUAUCACUAUAAUUGUACCAAGUGAAUAAAAGCAGGGUGCAAAAUUGAAUGUAUAGCAUGAAGUGACCAAAUAAAAUAAAGUCCAUGUUAGCACAAGGGUUUUGAACCUCUGCAUUGGAGCUGAUGGACUUGCACCCUCUCACUGAUUCACACUCCACCUCAACUAGUCAGUUUCACAUUAUAGCAUCUGCCACUUGCACCAACCAGAUGACAAUUCUGGUAUCAUUCAGCUUUCUUUCAGUUGUGACAGACACACAAACUGAAUUAAUCAAAAAGAGGAUUUAUUGGCUCAUAAAAAUUGGGAAAUCUACUGGGCAGAGCUGGUUUUAAGCAAAUUUAGAGUGAGGCAUCCAAAUGAAAUGAUGCUCUCAGGAUUAUUUCUUUCCUUCCCUUCCUCUCUCCCUCCCUCUCUUCCUCUUCCUCCUCCUCCUCUUCUUCUUCUUUUCUCUCUUUCUCUCCCUUUCUUUCUCUCUUUCUCCAAGCACUGCUUGUCUCAGCUUGGAUUUAUUUUCAGACAGACUUUCCCCCACAUGAAAGCAGGAACCUGAUGCAGAGACCUUGUGUUUCAGAGUAAGGCACCCUUUCCAAUAGCUCUAACCGAAGUCCCAGAGUGGUCUUCUAUUGUCUGGACUUGGUUCACGUGGCUGUGCUGAACAAAUCACCGUGGCCUGGGCACAGAUCACUUGGGCUCACUGAGCUCACUUAGAGGCCAGGGGAACAGAGUGAGGCCCAUUGGACCACAAAGAUAUUUUAUUGUUGUUAUAUAAAAGGAGGGUUGGUAACUUCAAAGAAUUACUGAAUAGACACAGAGAAAAAAAAUUGGAAGGAAAUUCUGCAUAAUGUUAGUAUUGAUUAACAUGGAACUCAUGACAGAUGAUUUAUUUUUAUUUCUAUUUCUUAAAAAACAUUCCAAAUGAUCUUUAGUCAUGAUGUGUUAUUUUUAUAAUUGCAAAGAAAAAGGAAAAAAUGGUCCUUAAGAGUUGAGUGAGCUGGUGAGCUCAUCAAAUGGUGUGUGGAUAGGUACAUGUGACCCAAGGACUCUCUUUGGCCCAGCCUCAGACACAGCUGCACAUAGACUGGACUUUUAAGCAAUCAGCCCUCAUCUGGAGCAAAGGCUGUCAUGUGCAUGCAAUAUGUCAUCUCAUCCCUGAUGCUUCAGUUUAUGGGGAAACCAUGUAGUCGUGUUCAAACUUCCAGACAUUGAUAAUCGUGUGGAAAGAAUCCUAGACAAGCAGCCAGGAGACAUGGGUGGCUGUUUCAGAUCUGUCCCUAACAACUGUGUCAGGUGCCAGCCACUUCUUGGCUGCAGGUCCCACAUCUAUAAUCAGAAAGUUUAUUUUCAGCUUUAACAAUCUGUGAUUAUUAUUUGCGUUUACCGAUGGAGUAACUAAUUACUUCAUUAUAGGAUUUCUCAAGACCAGUUACCUCCUGUUUGGUUCAAUUAGCAAAACGCCAAUGUGAUUGUCAUUGAUUUUGAUGGUUUGGCUGCCAGGAGAAAAGCCCAAUGGGGGAAUAUUUCAGGAUCUUUAGCAGAUUUUCUGUUUAUAUUCCAAGGUAGUAUAUAGGAACAGAGCUUGUGCUUCAUUUUUCAAAAUUCUUGUUUAAAAAAUGCUCACACCCCAUCAUUCUCUUCCACUCUGCAGAUGCCCCAGGACUCUUUCACUUUUCCCUUUUAGUUUAGAGGCAGAGAAGAUAAACCAAACAAUAGUCGAGACUGGCUAGAACUGAACCUUUGCUUUUUUCCCUGAACAGAAUCACAGGAUAUUAGACAAAAGGUGAACCUCAAAGAUUAUUCAAUAUAACCCUGUUGGAUUUAGAGGAAACAUUUGCUGAGCAUCUUAACAUAUAUACUACAGAAAGAACAUAUACUGCAGAGUCAAGCAGAGUAUUGAUUGAAUCCUUGCUCUUUCGCUUACAAAUGUGUGACCUUUGAAGAAUUUCUUAAUUUUUCUGAAUCAUAUAUUUAUUAUUCUUUUUUAAUCUUUAAAAUGGGAACAAUAAUAACACCCACCUUGUAGCCUGUAUGGAUGUGGUAGACAGAAUAACGACCCCCCUACACACACCAAAAAUAAUCUAUAUGCUAAUCCCCAGACCCUGUGAGCAUAUUACCUUACAUGGCCACAGAGACUUUGCAGAUGGAUUAAGUAAGGGAUUUUAAGAUGAGAGAGUAUCGUGGAUUAUCCAGGCUGACUUGACGUAAUCGAAAGAACCUUUGUAAGUAAAAAAGCGAGGUGAGAGAGUCAGAGUCAGAGAAGGAGAUGACAAAGGACAGACAGGUUGGAAUGAUUCUGUGGGGUGGUGGGGUGGAGUAGGGGGCUACAAGCCAAGGAAUGAAGGUGGCCUCUGAAAACUGGAAAGGCCACUUAAAACCUCCAGAAGGAACAGAGCCCUGCUGACCAAGUGCAGACUUCUGACCUCUAGAACCGUAAGAUAAUAAAUCUGUGUUGUUUUAAGCCACCACCUUGUGAUAAUUUGUUACAGCAGCAAUAGGAAACAAAUACAGUGGAGAUUAUUGUGUAUACAGAUGGCCUGGAACAACACUACAGUGAGUAGGUGCACUGAAUGCUGCUGUUUUUGCUGCAGUUAUGGUUAUUGUUGUUUCUCUUCCCCUUCCUAUUCUUUUCCUAUUUCUGUCUUCUCCCUCAUCCUUUUUUCCUGUUCUCUUCCUCCUCAUCCUCUUUCUUUCUUCUUCCUUUUUCUCUCAUUAAAAAUAACAGGAAAGAAAGAAAAGAGCCAGCAUUCAAUAAGGACCUCCUAUGUGUCAGGCACCAUCAUUGGUGAUUUCACAUUCACAACCUAAUUCAAUCUGCCAACCCAUUGAAUAAGAUUUCAGUAUUUCCCUUUUACAGAUGAAGAAACCAAGGUCUACUGAAGUCAACUGAGCUGCUUCCAGACUCACUGAGAGUUAGUGACUAUCCCAAGGCUGUCUGUUACUCUGUGCCUCCCUCAUCAUUAGCAGGCUCACUUCCAUUCCAAAAAAGAACUGUUGACCUGCAUCCUAUGUGACCUGGUUGACCAGAGCUAGACUGGGCAAGAAAUUCCAUCACCAUGGCAACAAUGCUAUAUGCUGGGUUGAGGCAUGGUACCCUGCUGAGCCAGGGUGCAGAUGUCAGGGAGAGAUGCUGUGCCCCACGAAGGUGCUGCCAUCUGUCUGAAGACAUCCCUCUGCUCAGAACAGCAAAUAGCUCAUCACACCCCUACCAUUUCAAAUGAGCCGUCCCUUGCUCAGUUCAGGGGAAAAUAAGAAUGACCACCAUUUAUCAAACACCUACUGGGUGUCAGGCAUUGUGCAAGCUUUUUUUUCUCUGAUACAUAUUAUAAUUCUGUGAAGUGGAUAUUGUUUUCCCCAUUUAUAGGGAAAAAACUGAGGCUUAGAGGGGAGAAUGGCCUUGCCCAUUCACAUGUGAAACAGCAGGCUGGAGUGAAGCCAGGUGUGCUCAGAGACUAAGGCCAGGUCUUCCCCAGCUAGUCACACUGCUCCUCACGCCAAGCAAAGACAGUCACAGUGGGUCCCCAAAGGCCUUGAGUCUAAUCUGGCACUGUGUUUAUUUAUUUCCUUUUCCCUCUUGCCCCUUUCACUGCCUCUCUCUUCUUGGGUCGCCAGAUCAUUUGACAGUUUUACGUAAGCACUGGCACCAGGGCCUGGGGUGGGGAGCAUGGGACAUCUUGGUAGAAUGAAGAAUCUACAGAGCUGAGGAGGGAGGAUUGAGCAAGUUAGAGGAGAGGCCCGGCCCAGGGCCCAGAGGGAUAGUCCUCUACCUCCACCACAUGCCUGGCAGCAUGCCUGUGGACUUCUCUGCUUGAAGACUCAAUAAUUUCUGUGUAGAUAGAAGGCAGUGUGGUUAGGAGGGCAAGAGGCCAGCUUCAGAACUGGACAGAUAUGGACUUUAGGCUCACCUCUGCAACUCAGGAACUUUGUGGCCUUGGGCAAGUUGAGUCACAUCUCCAAGUCUCAGUUUCCUCUUUUGUAAAAAGUGUUUGACAAUACAAGCUGGAUCAUGUCAUAGAAUUGUGAGGACCCCACAGCUGGAAGGGGCCAUAGAGGCCAGCUUACUCUACAUGGCAUUCAGGUCCGUGUCUAAAAUUCUUUCACGUAAAGCAUGUUGCUUCUGUGGGAUCAAAUAUGGUAGGCAGUAAAUGGUUGUGCUGAUGCCAACGUCAGGAGGUGACGCAUUAAGAGGAGUUUCCUUGGAGCUUCUCUUUUGCUGCCUUCCAGGAGGGCUUUCCGCAUCUGGUUAUACCAGGACACAGACAACUCCAGGACUCCAUCUGAGAUCUCGUUCCUCACUCUGAGAUUCUUGUUUCAAGCACAUAAAAUGGCAUAAAGGUACUUACUAUCAAACAUGAAUGAAGCACACUAGAUUAAUUGAUAAGCUCAUAAAAUAAGAUUCUUAAAUGAAACCAUUAGAGAAUGUAGAAAUUCCCCUAGACUUUGUUUAAUGGGCUUAUCUAGAGCUGAAGUAGGCAAAAAGUUUAAGGUACCUCCCAUUUCACAAAGAAAAGGGAAGCUGUCAGGUCUGAAAUCCCACCCAUACCUUCUUAUUUUCAGCAUCAGAAUGAGAGAUUUCCCUUUGGCAAAUUUCCCUUUGGGUAACUUCACCUCUUUCCUGGGCUCUUACUUAACUUGCCUUCUCAUUUCUUUCAGAUUGUUCUUCCAUAAUGAUUUCAUCUCUCUCCAGUUCCUCACUAGAUAAUCUUUUAACAGGCAACCAGUCUAUACAUUUUUAUGCCUGCCAUAUGGUAGGCAUGCCUGAGACACUGGUGAUACAAGUGCAAAUUAGUCCUUGUUCUCAAGGAGGCUAUAUUUAAGAGGGGAGAGACAGACAACUCUAAACAAGUCUAUGACAUGCAGUGUAACAUCAAGUAGUACAAAGUGUGAAGAAGAAAAUUAAAACAAGCUUAAGAGUUUUGAGCUUACACAUAGAAGAUUAAUCUCCUCUGAAUCUGCUCUGCUGGAGAGAUCACCUGGAGAACCUACAUAGAGUCCUAGCUCUCACCCAUUUCAGUCUUCCCAGCGCAAGUGCCGGCCAAGUGCGUGAGAUAGAUUCCUGAGAGUGAGAUUCCUGGGUUAAAAGAGAUUCCUGGGUCAAAAGUGCAUUUUUAUUUUGAAUAUAUGUUGCCAGGCUUCUUUCCAAAAUGGUGGUAAUAAGUAACAUGUCUACAAGUGAAGAAUAUGAGUACCUUCCUCCCAGCAUCGCCAGCAAUCAGUGUUACCAUAUUUUCGAACCCUUGGCUCUGAGUGGAUAUAUAAGGUAAUACUUCAUUAUUCCCUGUCUACUCACAAACUUGAGCAUCUUUUUAUAUGUCUGUGGUCCAUUUGAAUUUUCUGUUCUGCAAUUUACUUUUAUGUAGUCUUUACCAUUUUGUUUUUUGAUAAUAUGUGAUAAUCUUGUAUAUUACAGAUAGUGGUCCUUUAUCUGUCAUGUGCAUUGUUAUUUCUCCCCAUUCUUCCCAUUUUAUUGAUUUUGCAGUACCUUUUGGCAUGUAUUUAUUUUUUAUUCUUAUGGUCAGUUAUGUCAAUAUUCUUUUUAUUGCUUUUGGGUUUUCAGUGUUUAUUGGGGUCUCCCCAAUCCCUAGGUUGUGUAUGUAUAUGGCCCCUUUGUUAUCUGUAUUUUACAUUUAAAUAGUUUAUUUACUUUUUUCUUUACAUUUAGUGUGAGGUAGAUAUCCAACCUUAUUUUUCUUUGAAAGGAUAAUCACCUGAGUUAGGAUUAUAUAUUAAAUAAUCUUUCAUUUUUCCACUGUCUUGGCAUACUCCCUUUGCCAUAUGUUACUUUUUUUAUAUAUACCGUGAUUGAUUUUUGGAAUAUUUGUGUGGUUUCUCUGUUUGCCUAUUACUAUUCAGUACUACAUUGGUAUGAGUGCAGAGGAGUUGACAUUCAGGUCACGUUCUGUACUGGUUAGUUGUUAUUGCUCAGAGGCUUACAGCAAGAAACAUUUUUUUUAAAUCACUCUCUUAUUUUGUGAGUUGGCUGGGUAGCUCUUCUGGCCUGAGUCACUUUGCUGGGCUUGCCCAUAGACCUGUGGUCAGCUGGUGGUUUGGCCAGUAGCUGGAUGGUUUAGGUUGGUCAUACUCAUGUGUCUGACAGCUGGUAGGCUAUUCACAUUGGUAGGCUGCCUCCAUUUCUUCCACCUGACUUCUCAUCCUCCAGCAGGCUAAUUCAGGCUCGAGUCCACGGUAGUCUCAGAAUUCUGUGUGUGGCAAGAGAAAGAAAGCCUUAACAUGCAAGCACUUUCAACCUUUGUUUGCAUCAUGUUUGCUCAUGUCUAUUGGUCAAAGCAAGUCAAAUGGCCAAAUUCAGAUUCAAGAGAGGUUCAGAUUCAAGAAAGGAAAAAAUAUACUCUGCCCCUGGAUGCAAGAGGUGUACAUGCAGAAACAGGAAGGGUUUGUUGCCAUUUUUGGAAUCUACCACACCGUAAGAAUCUGAAUGAGAAUUUGUUUUCCAGAAUCAAAUCUGAUCCUUCUCUCUCCAGCUUGUAAAUCUCCCAUGGCACCCUUGAUCUUCAGAAUUAACUCCAGAACUCUUAAUAUGGCAUGGUCUGGUCCCUGCCUACCUUGGCAGACUCAUGUCAGCAAUGCCCAUUCACAAUGCCCUGUGUUCCAACAUGCAGAACCAUUUUAUCUUCCUCUCUCCUGUGCCUUUGCCCCAAUUAAGCUUGUGGUAAGGGAUCCUUAUCUCCUCCCUCCGUGUUUCUGCUUUGUUCCACCCUGGAGUCAAAGAUUUUCCUCUGUCUCAUCACCCCCUUGUUGUUCCUAUCCAAAAGAGAAAUGACCAUUUUUCUUGGAGACAGCUGGCAUCCCUUGGGCUUCACACUUGUGUGGAGAUCCUUAAGAAAAAAGUCCCUGUAUUCUUGCACCUGCAACACUUGUGAGAAGCAGCCUCCCCUUUUAUUCCUCAUUACAUGUCGUCUAUCUACCAACACUGCUCCUUUCUCUGAGGAGGCAGCCCAUGUGUGACUGGGUAGAAAGUCACAGGUGAGGUAGGAGGUAAAAGACCCCAUCACAUUUUCCAAUCAGUAGCUUUACAUUUGAAAAUGUUUGGACCCUUGUCCAGUUAUUAAAAAAGCAAAUAAUUCCACCUCCUUUUAGUUAAUUGAUUCUCAUCCUUGUUAGUUACACUGUGGAGAGGAGGAGGGUCAUGUCCUAUGUCUUAUAUACCAGUGUCUGGGAUAUUCUUCUCCUCCUUCUCACUUAUCUAUCCUUUCAAUUAAUAUUCACUGACUUCCCACUGUGUGCAAGGUGCUGAAAAUACAGUCAUGGGUAGGUCAACAUGGUCUCUGUUUUGACAGUGUUUGUGGGUCAAAGUAAAUCUCUUGUAAAGUCAGCUUAAGGAAGCAUGAUAACACAAUAAUAAGGAAAAAUCACCUUUGAAUCUGAGGUCACACUCAGAAGAACUACUAUGACCCCAAUCCCUUAACUUUCCUUCCCCUCCCUUCAGAAUCCCUGAAGUUUCAUGUAUUCUCCUUGGUGAUUAGUAAAGUGUUCUUCUGGUAAUUCCAGGACUGGUAUCUAUUCUCUGCUUUGUGGCUGAAGCCAGAGCUGCUGAUUCUGUCUUGGAUUCAACUCUCUGAGACCGUAGACACUGGACCCUGACAUUCUCACUGCAGCUCUGCAGCUCUGUUUGGGAAGGCGUCACUCCACUGGGGUUAGAACUGUCUGUUUAGCUCCUCUCUGUAGGAGUGCUAGACUUUCAGUUUCUUAUGGGCUUUUCAUUUUUUUAGGAUCUUGGGACAAAUUAUCUGAUGCAGAGAACAUUUUAAUAGAAACACCCUUUUUUUACACCCUAAGGCAUACUGUUGUUAUUAUUAUUGUUAAACUAAUAUUUAGUAUAUACUUGCUGCAUGCCAAAAAUACUUCCUCUUUAAUUCUUAUAGCAACAUUGAGAGUUAAAUCUACCCAUUUUACAGAUGAGAGAUCAAAGGCUCAGAGAAGAGAAGAGCCAUGCUCAGAGACAAGAAAUCCUUUCUCUGUUCCUCAAUCUUAUUCCCAGUUUCCAAGUAUUGAUUUUCAGCCUCAGAGUAUUCUCUCCUAUUCUUUCUAGGAGAUCUUUCAGGUUCUAAAGCAAAAAGCUUGCUUGUGGCCUGUCCUGGCUGUCUAAGGACCCUAAGUUAGCAAACAGAUUAGGUCUUGCCUCUUUCUCAACACAGUAGGACUUAUUCCACUCUACUGUUUGCAUCGAUAAUGUGCCUUUUUUGGGUUGAGUUGUUGGGAGUGGACUCUGUCCUCUUCACCUCUGAAGUCUUGGAGCCCAGCUCAGGAUCUGGCACAUCGCAAUGAAUGCACCUGUUUAAUUAUGAAGAUGAGAUAGGGACUGGACUUUUGCUCUGAUCUAAGAUGUAGAUAUAAUCCAAGUCCCCAGGGAAGUGUACCUGCAUGGAGCUCUGAGUAUUAUAGGACAAAUAAUCACUGUUUUCAUUGUCAAGCCUCUGAUCUUCUGGUGGAACCACCUUACCUGCUAAUGAGUCAGAAAUAGAACACAAAUAAUAGUGGCUACUAUUUAUGGUGUGGUGAUUAUAUGCUCACUCUGAUGAUAAAAUAUUUACAUGGAUUAUCUCAUUUAGUAUUCAUAACACUGAAUAAGAAUGCACUUCUGUUUUUCCUAUUUUAUGGAUGAGAACCCUAUAGUAUAGAAAAACUAAGUAACUUGCCAAUGUCACACUCCAAGUGGCAGAGAUAGGCUUCAAGCAAAGGUAAUAUAACUCCAGUACCUGAGUCUUUAAAAGAGAGAUGACAAACAAUUUCUUCAUGACAUUUCAGAAAAUGUCUUGGAAGCCACAUGGGGUUUUGUUUUGUUUUGGCAUUAACAAGAGCAGUAGGACUGGAGCUGACCCAGUAGUGAGUCAGAAGUCCCAGAUCCCUGUCCUGACUCUGACAACUCGCAUAGUCUUCCUGGGCUACAAUGUCUUCAUUUGCAGAAUGAUAGUUGGAGCUAGCUGGUCAUGACAAAGAUGGCACGGGUUUUACAGUCAGACAAAGUCUAAAAUUGAUUUCACCACAUACUAACCAUGUGCUAGGGUGAGUGACUUAAUCAUUCUAAACAUCUUUUUUUCAUAUCUGGAGUGCGCAUAAUUUAUGAUUUAUUAACUUAUUAUUUGUUAUAAUAAAAGCUGUUGGAGGCAGAUAAAUGUGUUAUAUAAACAGAAAAGCUCAGGUGGGGCUUUUUACAGAUGCCCAGAUCAGUGCUCCAUGACAUCCUCAGGUCCUCCUGCAGGUAAGUCUGGAAGCAGGAUGCAGUUCUCAGAUUCCUGCCUCUCCAUAGCAUCUUUACAUUCAUUGGUGUUCCAGUCCAAGCAGACUUCGUGAUCUGUGCCUGUGGGGCUUGUGGUUUGAAUGUCUAUGGAGUGUGGCUCCUUGGCAGCCAAAAUCAAUGCCAGGAUUCUCCCGAUGGCUCCUUGUUUUAACAACUCAGUUUUCUUGGCACAACCUUUGACUGCCCUGGGUAUAGGAUUCCUGUAUUUUCUCAAUAUCCUCUCUCUGAAGGGCUUGAGGGAGUCUGAGCAAUCCUACCACCCUUCCUUCAUUUUAUACUCUUGGGAUCUUUACUAAGGGACUGCUAUACACAGGGGGAAAAAGAAAAACAAAACCCUCAACUGACAGAAAAAUGCUUUGUUAAUAGCCAAGAAUCCCAGACACGCUAAUAUACAAAUCUUUGACAGCUUUGAAAUAGAAUGUGACAAAGUAGGGAUGAAGUGGGGUGUCUUGUCUCCCCCAAAUUUAGAGUCAUGGGCUAAAGCAUGCGUAUAAGGGAAGGAAGAUUUAAGCACUGAGUUCCCUGAAAAUAUUCACUCAACCAAGCAGAUGCGUGGGAAGAUGGAAGCCAAGAAGGGGGACUAGCCUGCCCUACAUCUCAGGCUCUGCCCAGGAGAGUUUAUUGCACCAGGAGACAGGAUGAGAAAGAGAUGGGGCAACCUGGGUUCCUGCCCUACAAGGCACAGUGGCCGUGCCCUCCAGUAAAUGUGGCCCAAUGAAUACAGGGAUCUGAUCAGUCAACUCAACAGCACCUCUUUCUGGAAGAGGGAUUCAGGAUGAAGUAGAGAUGGAUAGCCCUGGCAUGAAAAACAAUCUUUGACAUUUGAAGGAAAAGUUCUGGAAAUAUCCUCCCCUAUGACUUAUUAAUCACAAAGGAUUUAAUAUACUCCCUUUUCAAACAGCCAGAUAAUUCACUGGAGAAAAAAAAUUCUUGUUAAAUUUCUAGAUUAUCAAGGUGGGAAGGAUUAUUGAAGACAUCUAGUUUACCAACUCAUCUUUUGGAUGAAUAAAUUAAUAAACUAAGGUCUAGAAAAAAGAAGUGAUUUGCCUAAAGUAGAAUUCCAGGAGGGCCAGGCCAUGGCUUAGUGGUUAAGUUUGCGUGCUCCAAUUAGGCGGCCUGAGGUUUGCUGAUUCGGAUCCAGCUUGAAGAGCACAGCUCAUCAAGCCAUGCUGUAGUGGUAUCCCACAGGGAGGAACUAGAAUGACUCGCAACUAAGGUAUAAAAUUAUGUACCGGGGAGAAAAAAAUGAAAGUGGAGAAUUGGCAACAGACAUUAACUCAGGGCCAAUCUUCCUCACCAAAAAAUAAAUAAAUAAGUGGAUAAAGCAAUACCUUUUUUAAAAAAAAGAAUUCUAGGGUUCCAGAUUACUUAAUUUAUACCUCUAAUCUGGAAAUGCUGUUAUAUUGUUUUCUUCAUUUCUUUUUCCUCUUAUGCUUCUUCCUUCUUGUCACUUUUUUCCCUUCUAAGCCUAGUGUAUACCCCACCUAUAUUCACAAAGGAUUUAUUAAUAUACACAGAAGAAUAUUAAUAGAGCAAUUCAUUCCUAGGUAUGUACCCAGUAGAAACAAGGUCACAUAUCCACCAAAAUAAUUAUACAUAUAUGUUCUUGUCAGCUUUAUUGAUAAACUGUCAAACUAGAAACAACUCAUAUGCCCAUCAACAGAAACAUGGGUAAAAUAUUGUGAUAUAUUUAUACUACAGAAUACCAAGCAGCAAUAAAAAGGACAAACUAUUGGUAAACACAACAACAUAGUUGGACUUUAAAGACAUUAUAUUAAAUAAGAGAAGCCAGACACAGAGGAUAGUAAACCCUAUGAUUCAAUUUAUAUGAAGUUCAAGAAUGGCCAAAACUAAUCUAUGGAUGGGAGUCAGAGUAAUGAGGUUGAAUAUGGUAGAUCUUGAUUGGGAAGAAGCACAAGGUAAGCUUAUAGGAGCGUAAAAAUAUUCUAUAUCUUGUUCAGGGUGUUGGUUAUAUAAGCGCAUACAUGUGCAAAAAAUACAUUGGCCUGUGCACUUUAUAGUAUAUAAAUUAUACCUAUGUUUAAAAAAAUCUUUCAAAGAGCAAUAGAAAAGCUGGAACUAUGCUAAUGUGGAGGAGAAUUAACAUAUCCAAAACCUAGGCUAACAGAUUACUGUAAUUGAAUAUCAAAUUUAAUUUUGAAAUAGCAGCAAAUGAAAAAAUUCCUAAUCAUUUGCUGCUCCCGUUUUCUUAAAUGAAAAUUAAAAUCAUCAGGAGAGAGAUAUUUUAGAAGCCAUAUUCUCCUUCUAAAAUGAACUUAUCAUGUAAUAUUUUAAAUAAAAGACAUUGAACAAUAUAAUGGACAAAAUCUCUGAUUGUAACUCAGUAGAAAUGUUGAGAUAUCUUAAUACGCCCAUUUUUUUUCUACCAGUCUUUCAUAAAGCUGACACAUAUAUAUAAUGAUGAUAUUUUCUUAGAGGAAAAUAAGUUAAUGAGAUCCAGGUGAGCAUCAGUUAGCUAACUCCCAGAGACAGAGAGCUUAGCCCAACACAUCUCCACAGACAUACACAGGCGUCACCUGGGGAUCUUGUUAAAAUGUGAUGUGGAUUCAGCAGGUCAGGAAUGGGGCAGAGAUUCUUUCGUUUCUAGCAAAUCCCCAGGUGAUGCUUUUGCUUUUGGAACAAGGACCACACUUUGAGUAACAAGGACAAGGACUUAGACCACUUAGGAAGUGUGUUUACUCAUCAUUUGUAUUAUUUAUAUUGGGAUUAUUGUUAAAAGUUAGAUUUCUGGUCUCCCUUUCCCCAGGAGGUGGGAUCAAGGAUGCUGCUUCUUUUAAAAAAUAAAUUUCAAGAAGAGUAUGGUGUACACUAAAAUUUUGGAGCCGCUGACUUAGAGAAAUGGAUUUAUGGCAUGCCCCGUACAAUUUCCUGGGAGUAUAAUUGUUGUAGCUGGUUUCACACAACAGGAGAAAGAAAGGGAAAGGGAAAGAACAUAUUUUCAAGGCCUUAUAUACAUCAGUCACUUAUUGGAUGUGCAAUUAACUUUAGUUAAUUUAAUCCUAAUGAAUAUUCUAUGAGGUAGGAAUUGUCAAUAUUCUAGAAUUAAAAAGUAACAGAUGAUCAUUAUUGAGCACAUAAUAUUCCUAGACUCUGUACUAAAUGCUUUAAAACCACUAUCUGAAAGAGCAGCCCAGUGAAUAGGCUCUUGUUUCAUCUCAGUUUUACAGUUCAAACAAUGGAGCCUUAGAGAAAUUCAGUCCCUGUAGAAUCUGGCUGACGAGAGCUCAACCCUCAACCACUACGAGUAGGACCUCGCUCAACUGACACCACACAGCAAGCAGCGAGGCCACGAUGCAACCCAGAUAUUUUAUUUUUGUUUUUAUUUUUUACUUCAACUAUAAUACUUUGACCAAUUGGCACAUAUUAUUUUCCUUUCAUUUUGCUGUUAUUACUCCAUCCUUCAAUUAUUUUGCUUUGAGGAGCAUCAAUGAAAAGACUUAGUGGCUCAGACUGUAAUUGUUAACAUCUGUAUAGUAUUUUACAGUUCAUAGUAUUUUGUGUAUAAAAUACUUUGGCUGAUUUCAUUCUCUAAACCACAUGUAUCCUCAUUUUGUAAAUGAGGAAACCAAGGGACAGGGAAAGGUAAUUAAGUUAUCUGGAAUUCAGACUCCAAACUCCAAAUCUAUGAGCUUCCACUAGGCCAGGCUGCCAAGAGAAAAGGGAGCAGAAAAAUAACAUGGGAGAGUGGGGAAAGCAAUCACGAGGGACCCAGCAGCGUUGCAUUCCAGUCCUGGCUCUGCCACCAGCUGGAUCAACCUCCAGCAAUCUGAUUUCUGUCUUUGGGCAAUAGCUUUACAAUCUUAAACUAAGGGUUUAGAAUAGACAAGUUAUUUUCAAAUAGUGUUGGCUCAUUUUUAUCAAAACCCUUUCUCUGAAAGAAAUCUUACAACAGACUAUUAACUCAUAAAGCAAAUCUUACAGCAGACAGUUAACAACUGGAGCACUGGGAACCCACUCCUUUCCAUUCUAGGGCGGAGCAGGAAUUGUGUCUGUUUUGUUCACUAAGUUUCUAGUUCAGGGUGUGACACAUGUAGGUGCUCAUUAAAGGCUUGUUGAAUGUAUAAGGCUGCUUUAAGGAUUCCUUACAGCUCCACGGGGCACAGUGUCAAGACUAUCAGAUCAACAGGUCUCAGGCUUUCCUGUGAAUCUGAGGCCAAUUUCUUAGAAAGUAAAACUUCUCGUAAGAGUUCAGAUCAAAAGCGGAGAUUUCUCUGGCUACCCCUUCGUGUUCAGGGACCUCAGGUGUUUCCAGGCAAAGUCAUUUCCACAAGGACAGAGUUCUACAGUGUUAUUUUUCAUAUCAUUCUGUAGGAUAUGCUUAGGGAUUGCAUGCUUUUUCCUACAUUCUUUCUCAAGAAAAUACCAACUGAAUAACAAAGCAAAACAGACAAAAUCUAGAUUUACUUAGUAAUUUCUUUUUAAUUUUCUUACCCACUGUGAACUCUGUGCACAAAUCCUUC
rnacentral:lncRNA from 1 species